GACGAACGCUGGCGGCGUGCUUAACACAUGCAAGUCGAACGGAAAGGCCCUGCUUUUGUGCGGAGCUCGAGUGGCGACCGGGUGAGUAACACGUAAGUACCCUGUCCCUGCCUGUGGGAUAACUUCAGGAAACUGAGGCUAAUACCGGCUAGGAUCUCCUGCCGCAUGGUGGGGCUUGGAAGGUUUAGGCGGUUGGGGAUGGAAUCGCGGCUUAUCAGAUUGUUGGUGGGGUAGUGGCUUAGCAAGGCUUUGACGGGUAGCCGGCCUGGGAGGGGGACCGGCUCAAUUGGGCUUGGGAUAAGGCCCAGACUACAACGGGAGGCAGCAGUGCGGAAUAUUGCACAGGAGGCGGAAGCCUGGUGUAGCAACGCCGCGUGGGGGGUGAGAGGAAUCGGGUAGGAAACCGCUUUCGCCUGUGACGAAGCGUUAGUGACGGUAAUGGGUAAAGAAGCACCGGCUAACUACGUG
rnacentral:rRNA from 1 species